rnacentral:rRNA from 3 species
UACGAAGGGGGCUAGCGUUGCUCGGAAUCACUGGGCGUAAAGGGUGCGUAGGCGGGUCUUUAAGUCAGGGGUGAAAUCCUGGAGCUCAACUCCAGAACUGCCUUUGAUACUGAGGAUCUUGAGUUCGGGAGAGGUGAGUGGAACUGCGAGUGUAGAGGUGAAAUUCGUAGAUAUUCGCAAGAACACCAGUGGCGAAGGCGGCUCACUGGCCCGAUACUGACGCUGAGGCACGAAAGCGUGGGGAGCAAACAGG